rnacentral:lncRNA from 1 species
GGCUGCUGAGCUGCUGGCCCUGGGAGAAGCUGAAGUGCUUGGUGUUUUCUUUAUCCUGUGGUCUCUGGGGCCCCUGAGUGUUAGGGGCUCCCUGGUCCCCAAAUCCUCAGGAAGUUCACAGUCUUCCCUAGUAUGGGUGGAAUUUGCCUUUUUCUAAAUUUAAGCUGAAACCUACUCAGCUUUAAACUAUAAAGGGAAAUCUUUUUUUUUUUUUCUUAAGAUACAGGAAGUGCAGCUGACCCUUUCAAGACUAGAGAUAGGAAAUGGAAAAUUCUGCAGAUCCAAUCAGCCAGGUUAUGGGCCAUCUCCCCAGCCCUGAUGGUGGAGAAGACACUGGAAUGACCACUGGGAAGCGCUUGGGGGAGCUGUGGAGCACUGAGCUUGUGGAAACUAUUACAGAGUUAUUACAGCCUCUGUUUUCCCACCAUAAUGGAGGCUGGGACCUGAGCCUGCAACGACUUUUGCAUCCGCAAAUAAUGCCAAAUGUAGGUCUUUCUAGGGGUUUGUGACAUAUAGUUGCUGACUGAGAUAAUUCUACUCCCUAAGGACAAACAGGAGGGAUCAGCCCACACUAAAAUAUUAGAAUUUCUUACAAUUGUUGAACAUAGAAUUCUCUUGUAACCAGAAGCAAAAACUAUAAAUGUUUUCAUUAUUUUAAUAAAUUGUACUGGUCUGAUUUGGAUGUGAGUGUGUGCCCUAAAAGUCCAUGAGUUGGAAUGUUGGUUCUCAGUCUGUUGGUACCGAAGCCGAUGGAACCUUUCAGAAAUGGGGCCCGCUACAGGGUUUGUGGUUUAUUUGGGCACCGCCAUUGGAAAGGACUAAUGCUGGCUCCCUGUUCCUGGAGCUUGUUAUACACAGAGCAAACCUGGUCCUCGAAUCUCUCUGACUUCCUAUCUCUCUUGGGAAGCAUGGCUUCCAUACUCUACUGUGACACACACAGCCAAAGGGGCCCUCAUUAAAGGCCAAACAGGUGGGGCCACCGAAUCUUGACUUUCAGCCUCUAGAACUGUGAGCUUGUGCUCACUUCCAUGGCAGAUAUACUAAAAUUGGAACUGUAAGCUUAGUAAACCUCUUUUCCUUAUAAAGUACCCAGCCUUGGGUGGGUGGGAGGUUGCAAGUCUGGGGUUAGGACACAGGGCCUGGAACAUGUAUUAUUACAGCAACAGACAAUGAACAAGACAUGUGUUUCCAUACAAUUAAAAUGUGCCCAAAUGUGCAGUUUAAAUGGUUUUUGGUGUACAUCCCUGAAUACCAUCACAAUCAAGAUACAGAACAUUUGCACUUUUUCACAAAGUUCUCUGUGUCCUGUUGCAACCAGUCCACCCCAUUCCCCACCCUUGGCAAGCACAGAUCUGGUUUCUUUUGCUAUAGAUUCAUUUUUUUCCUGUCCUAGAACAUCACAUAAAUGAAAUCACAAAUUCCAUAUCAUUUUG